rnacentral:rRNA from 1 species
CCUACGGGAGGCAGCAGUGAGGAAUAUUGGUCAAUGGACGAGAGUCUGAACCAGCCAAGUAGCGUGAAGGAUGACUGCCCUAUGGGUUGUAAACUUCUUUUAUAUGGGAAUAAAAUGUUCCACGUGUGGGAUUUUGUAUGUAUCAUAUGAAUAAGGAUCGGCUAACUCCGUGCCAGCAGCCGCGGUAAUACGGAGGAUCCGAGCGUUAUCCGGAUUUAUUGGGUUUAAAGGGAGCGUAGGUGGAUUGUUAAGUCAGUUGUGAAAGUUUGCGGCUUAACCGUAAAAUUGCAGUUGAAACUGGCAGUCUUGAGUACAGUAGAGGUGGGCGGAAUUCGUGGUGUAGCGGUGAAAUGCUUAGAUAUCACGAAGAACUCCGAUUGCGAAGGCAGUUCACUGGACUGCAACUGACACUGAGGCUCGAAAGUGUGGGUAUCAAACAGGAUUAGAUACCCGAGUAGUC